CUAUUUUCUACUAAAAUUUGAACAAUUUUAGAGCAUAGUUUAAGUAUAUCAGUACCAAAUUAUCAAUGGGGACGGAAAAAAGGUAUUAUAAAUCAAAUGUCCCAAUUUUUAUUUGAAAAUGGCCGUAAUAAGUAACCUUUCACCCUGUUAUAUUCCCAAUAACGUCAGUUACCAUCAUCCAUUUUCUUACAUUCCUCAUAACAUUUCAAUAUAACUACACAAAAGCCGCAAAAUAUUGAUCAUUAUUCAGCGCAAAGACUGACAAAAAUAUUUAGGUUAAUAAUUGCUGUUUGAAAAUAGUUCAGAUAAAAAAAAAUGCUCAGAAUUACGUACUUUCAAGAUAAAAACUAUUAGUUUUGUACGGUAACUGGCAUGUAACGUCAUGACGCCGAUGACGUCAUUUUAAGGCAACAAUGUUUUGUAGCGUUUCUGUGGUAAUUUAUUCAUUAUUUCAGCAAUAUUAAACCAUUAAGCAUCAGAUCAGACACAGGUCAAUGAUUUUUCCCAGAAAAAUAAAUAAACAAACACAUUUAGUUUGUCGUAAACGUUGCCGUAAAUCCUCACUUUAGCUUCCGGUUGGGCAUGCGCACAAACAAAUAUUAAGGUAACCUACCUCCUUAAGUGGCAGGGGCCAGUUACGCAUUUGGCCCGGAUAGGUUUUCUAAAUAAAAUCGACAGAUGUACUUUAAAGGCAUUUAUAUUCAAUUGGUUAUUUAUGAUGUUUAUAGAACUAAGGAUUUCUGCGUACGAGUAAUGAUUGUGUAAAAUAAAUAUAUGCUUAUAUCGAUUUUCUUAGCGCCGUGUAAACGGCUGGGUCUAAAAUCUUACCUGAGGUAACGGAAGUCAGACGAAAUGGAAACGGUCAUCCAUCCAUCCAGAUUCAGCUCAAAUUUGCGGGAAAAGUAAACGGUUAUGAGGCACUUUUCUUCCCAUCAUUAUUUUCGUCUGGUCACAUGCUUUAAAAAUAUACAUAUGUUUUAGGUCAGUCAUUUGCAGGUAAUUAAGUACAGGUCGCGCAAAUUGUGCAUUUCGGGCCACUAUUUUGCCUGAAAAUUUAGUGUCCUGUAACCGUCGUUUUACUCGUUUUAAUAAUAGAAACAACGGAAUCAGCAGGCUGAUAAUGUCACACGAUGAAAUGCUAAGUAUAUGCAAUACAUCCGCUCAACACUUUCCUGGAAUUUUUCAAAACUGGAUUUUUUAUGAUUUUUUUCGCACUGGUAUCAGCGCAGAUUUGUGGAAUUUUCAAAUUUACUGUCCCUUGCCCCCUUAAUGGUUUCACUUCAGACUUCCCGCGGCACGAACCAGCAUAAUUUCGUGUAGCAUUUAUGAUAUAUAUCUUGUUUUCAUGCAAUCCUCGUUUACGAACACGUAGACUUCUUUUAAUUACGCGAUUCAAGCAUUCAUGAAAACUAACUGUUAAGUGGUGACAGUUUUAUGCCACCAUAGAUAACCCAAUUUUAUUAAAGAUCUAGUGGCUGCCUUAAGUGUUUAUAAUAUUGUAGUCAUUGUAUUGUUUUCUGUCUGGAUAUAUUUGGUCUAACAUUUUGUUUAUAUUGGAAAUUCAGUAAUGAAAAGAAAUAAGGAAUAAAAUUGGUGGUCAUACACCGGUCAUGACCUCGUAUGAACUCGCUAGCCUUAAUGUAGGUCAAAUGCCUAAUCGGCGUUAAAUAUAGUGCAUGUAAGGAGAUAUUCAACCAAUCAAAACCUGUCUUUCAUGAAUAUCUGUCACAUGACAUGUAUAACUGUAAACAAAUAUACAUGUAUAUACAUUAGACGUGGCAGCUGUCGCAUAGCAAGAAUAAAGUGUCAAACAAGCGUAAAAAUGUCAGCAGACGCAAAGGAAGCGGAUAAAGAAUAUAUGGAUGAGUACGAAGACUACAACAUAGACCAGGAAAAGUUCGUACAUUCUGGACACAGCGGAAAGGGGCGGUCAAAAAAGGAGGCCGCGCUAAACCACCACGAGGACCCCGCUGGACACACUAGAAAAAACGUGCAAAAGCUGGUGAACAAUGCAGCAAAUAAUAAAAAGACGUAAUAUACCAUAGAAGUGAUCAUAGGAAUUUUCUAGACAUCGAUACGGACGGACGACCAUUGGAUUAUGAUUUUGAACUGUGAUAUAUGCUGUUUACAACCAGAACAUUUGGGGAAAAUAAAAUUGGGACAAAGCUGUAAUUAACUGAAUGUGAUCCAAUAAACUGAUAUUGAUCUGUGUUAAUUAGUUUAAUACUAGUCAGUUUAAAGUCCCUAGGUCCGCUGACAGUAGAAUCUUUCAGCCGAAGAGGACGUUGAUCAGGUGAAGGGAAAUGAUUCACAUUUUGUCAUAAAUCGUGCUUUCAACAAUUUUUUGAUUUGUCCCUUUAGACUUAUCACUUUUUUCAAAGAAGUUGUUCUUUGAUCUCUCACGAAAUUUGUUUUUUAUAUUCAUAUUCAUUUUCACAUUUAACGUGUUCAAAAUAAAUCGUGCUCUUCCUAAAUAAAAUGUUGAGUUUGUGAAGAA